UGACAGGGCUCGGCGCCUUCUCGUCAUC
rnacentral:sRNA from 1 species